GGUUGUGGCUCAGUGGUAGCGCACUUGCCUAGCAAGGUGGGAGGCCCUGAGUUUGAUCCUCAGCACCA
rnacentral:tRNA from 1 species